rfam:Lactobacillus ruminis ATCC 27782, complete genome.
UCACAGCUGCAACCGCACGUUUUAAGUCAAAGCAUUCGUUUUACGAAUCACUACAUUACGGCGAGUCUAAGAAUCAUA